rnacentral:rRNA from 1 species
CCUACGGGAGGCAGCAGUGAGGAAUAUUGGUCAAUGGACGAGAGUCUGAACCAGCCAAGUAGCGUGAAGGAUGACUGCCCUAUGGGUUGUAAACUUCUUUUAUAAAGGAAUAAAACGAGGCACGUGUGCCUUUUUGCAUGUACUUUAUGAAUAAGGAUCGGCUAACUCCGUGCCAGCAGCCGCGGUAAUACGGAGGAUCCGAGCGUUAUCCGGAUUUAUUGGGUUUAAAGGGAGCGUAGAUGGGUUGUUAAGUCAGUUGUGAAAGUUUGCGGCUCAACCGUAAAAUUGCAAUUGAUACUGUCAGUCUAGAGAACAGUUGCGGUAGGCGGAAUUGAUGGUGUAGCGGUGAAAUGCUUAGAGAUCAUAAAGAACCCCGAUUGCGAAGGCAGCUUACUAAACUGUAACUGACAUUGAGGCUCGAAAGUGUGGGUAUCAAACAGGAUUAGAUACCCUAGUAGUC